rnacentral:rRNA from 1 species
AGUUUGAUCCUGGCUCAGGAUGAACGCUAGCUACAGGCUUAACACAUGCAAGUCGAGGGGCAGCAUUGGAGUAGCAAUACUUCAGAUGGCGACCGGCGCACGGGUGAGUAACACGUAUCCAACCUGCCGCUUACUCGGGGAUAGCCUUUCGAAAGAAAGAUUAAUACCCGAUGGUAUAAAGAGUUCGCAUGUUCUCUUUAUUAAAGAAUUUCGGUAAGCGAUGGGGAUGCGUUCCAUUAGAUAGUUGGCGGGGUAACGGCCCACCAAGUCUACGAUGGAUAGGGGUUCUGAGAGGAAGGUCCCCCACAUUGGAACUGAGACACGGUCCAAACUCCUACGGGAGGCAGCAGUGAGGAAUAUUGGUCAAUGGACGAGAGUCUGAACCAGCCAAGUAGCGUGAAGGAUGACUGCCCUAUGGGUUGUAAACUUCUUUUAUAAGGGAAUAAAGUGAGGGACGUGUCCCUUUUUGUAUGUACCUUAUGAAUAAGGAUCGGCUAACUCCGUGCCAGCAGCCGCGGUAAUACGGAGGAUCCGAGCGUUAUCCGGAUUUAUUGGGUUUAAAGGGAGCGUAGGUUGACGUAUAAGUCAGCUGUGAAAGUUUACGGCUCAACCGUGAAAUUGCAGUUGAUACUGUAUGUCUUGAGUGUACAAGAGGUGGGCGGAAUUCGUGGUGUAGCGGUGAAAUGCUUAGAUAUCACGAAGAACUCCAAUUGCGAAGGCAGCUCACUGGGGUACAACUGACACUGAGGCUCGAAAGUGUGGGUAUCAAACAGGAUUAGAUACCCUGGUAGUCCACACAGUAAGCGAUGAAUACUCGCUGUUUGCGAUAUACAGUAAGCGGCCAAGCGAAAGCAUUAAGUAUUCCACCUGGGGAGUACGCCGGCAACGGUGAAACUCAAAGGAAUUGACGGGGGCCCGCACAAGCGGAGGAACAUGUGGUUUAAUUCGAUGAUACGCGAGGAACCUUACCCGGGCUUGAAUUGCAGAGGAACAUAGUUGAAAGAUUAUGGCCGCAAGGUCUCUGUGAAGGUGCUGCAUGGUUGUCGUCAGCUCGUGCCGUGAGGUGUCGGCUUAAGUGCCAUAACGAGCGCAACCCUUAUCAUUAGUUACUAACAGGUCAUGCUGAGGACUCUAGUGAGACUGCCGUCGUAAGAUGUGAGGAAGGUGGA